CGUGAGCAAGCUGGAUGACGAUUGUUGUGGAGAUUUAUCUAGGUCCAGGGUUGGAGGAAGUUACUUUAGGCUGGAUUAACUUCUCAAGGUGCUGGGAAUGAAUAAGACCACCUCCAAUUGGGAUACAAAGUUGGCUCCAAUGGAUUUGUAAUGGAUUUCAAGCUGCCCAGCUUCUUUCUACUGGGACACAAUUGAGAGCAUCCUGACUGGCUGUACCAGGGCUCUGCAGAGAGUGGUGCGGACAGCCCAGCGCUUCUGUGGAUGUGAAGUUCCCACUAUUCAGGACAUUUAUAGCAACAGGUGUAUAAAAAAAAGGUCCAAAGGAUCAUUGGGGACCCAAGUCACCCAACCACAAAACAGUUCCAUCUGCUACCAUCUGAGAAACAGCACCACAGCAUUAAAGCCAGGACUAACAGGUUCUAGGGACAGCUUCUUCCACCAGGCCAUCAUUAAUUCACAAUUGUAUUUCUAAGCUAUAUUGA